rnacentral:rRNA from 1 species
UACGUAGGGGGCAAGCGUUGUCCGGAUUUAUUGGGCGUAAAGAGCGCGCAGGCGGUCAGAUAAGUCGAAUGUGAAAGCCCCCGGCUCAACUGGGGAGGGUCAUUCGAUACUGUUCGACUCGAAGGCAGGAGAGGGAAGUGGAAUUCCCGGUGUAGUGGUGAAAUGCGUAGAUAUCGGGAGGAACACCAGUGGCGAAGGCGACUUCCUGGCCUGUUCUUGACGCUGAGGCGCGAAAGCUAGGGGAGCAAACGGG